AGAGUUUGAUCCUGGCUCAGGACGAACGCUGGCGGCGUGCUUAACACAUGCAAGUCGAACGAGACGAUUGAAAGCUUGCUUUUGAAAGUCGAGUGGCAAACGGGUGAGUAACGCGUAGACAACCUGCCGUAAAGAUGGGGACAACAGUCCGAAAGGACUGCUUAUACCGAAUGUUGUGGAACUCCCGCAUGGGAGCUCCACUAAAGAUGGCCUCUACUUGUAAGCUAUCGCUUUACGAUGGGUCUGCGUCUGAUUAGCUAGUUGGUGGGGUAACGGCCUACCAAGACGACGAUCAGUAGCCGGUCUGAGAGGAUGAACGGCCACAUUGGAACUGAGACACGGUCCAGACUCCUACGGGAGGCAGCAGUGGGGAAUCUUCCGCAAUGGGCGCAAGCCUGACGGAGCAACGCCGCGUGAGUGAAGAAGGGUUUCGACUCGUAAAGCUCUGUUGUCGGGGACGAAUGUCAGGACUCAAAAUAUGGGUUCUGAAUGACGGUACCUGACGAGGAAGCCACGGCUAACUACGUGCCAGCAGCCGCGGUAAUACGUNGUGGCGAGCGUUGUCCGGAAUUAUUGGGCGUAAAGGGAGCGCNNCGGGAGGUCAAGUCUAUCUUAAAAGUGCGGGGCUCAACCCCGUGNNGGGAUGGAAACUGGUCUUCUUGANNGCAGG
rnacentral:rRNA from 1 species